GAAUAAAAUAAAACUUAACAUGGAUUAGCAAUUUCAGUUGGGGUGACCUCGGAGUACAAAAAACCCUCCGAGUGAUUUUAAUCUAGACAAACCAGUCAAAAUAAUCAUAAUAUCACUUAUUGAUCCAAAAUUUUGACCAACUGAACAGACCGAUCACUAGAAAUG